GACUGCAUGCUCCUUGCUUGUGCAUCGAAUUGCAAGCCCCUCGUCCUCUUCAAAUUUAACCCCAAGCAUGUUGCAUGUUCUGUGGGUGCGUUGGAUAUCCUGUAUGGCUUACCAAUUUUAUGGUAUUCGGUGUUUUUGAAGCCUACAUCCGUCCGAUGCCUGUUAUGGUGUUGGGUGGACAAUAGGUUGGCCCCAUGCUCCUAGCAUGCUUUGCAAGAAUGUCUGGCUGCCAAGGUGCAUGGGGUCAUGCCCGUUCUUUCGGAUGCUGACCGUUAUGUGUGUUGACGAGGGGUCUUGGCCUGUACUCGUCUGCUGUACGCACUUGUCCCUUAACAUGAACGACCGCCUCUCCUGUUUUGGCCCA
rnacentral:misc_RNA from 1 species